GUCCACGCCGUAAACGAUGGGCACUAGGUGUGGGAGGUGUCGACUCCUCCCGCGCCGCAGCUAACGCAUUAAGUGCCCCGCCUGGGGAGUACGGCCGCAAGGCUAAAACUCAAAGGAAUUGACGGGGGCCCGCACAAGCAGCGGAGCAUGUGGUUUAAUUCGACGCAACGCGAAGAACCUUACCUGGGCUUGACAUGUGAGUGACCGCCGUGGAAACACGGUUUCCCUUAGGGGCACUUUCACAGGUGGUGCAUGGCUGUCGU
rnacentral:rRNA from 1 species